CUGGACAAGAUGGCCCUUCUUGAGUCAGUCUGGACUCCAGACUGAGGUGCACUAAAGCCAAGAGAGAGCGGGCUCCGGCAUCUACCGUAUCUCUUCCUACACAGUGUAAGCAGAGAAUGCCAGUUGGAAUCCUUUUGUUUCUUCUUCUUGCCAACUUUCUUCCUAGAACGUCCAACUCACUGUUGAAUAGAAAUAUCUCUCGAAGGUGGUAUCCUCGUCUUCCUGUUCAUCUGUGGGCUUUCAUGGGUGUCCUCUAUCGGCAGGAGGUGUCUCUAGUUUGUGUGAAGUUGACAAAGACGAGCAACAUGGACUAUGCCUAGCAGGACACACCUUUAAUGCCUGCAGAGGCAGGAGAAUAUCUAUUAUUUCGAGGAGGGCCGUCUGGUCUACAUAGCAGGAUCUGUUAUGUUGCUCUAGCUGUCCUGGAACUCCAUAUACCAACCAGGCUGGCCCUGAAGUACCAGAAAUCCUCCUGCCUCUGCUUCCCGAGUGCUGGGACCAAAAGUGUGAGCUGCCACCGUACCCAGCUUUAAUA
ensembl:antisense 1700026D11Rik RIKEN cDNA 1700026D11 gene